rnacentral:sRNA from 12 species
GACCGUUGAAAUUAGGGCUAUGUAAGAUAGUGCUAGUGGAGGUCUUCGUAGGGUUUUAUGUUGACCUGUUCUUACUAGGUGAAAACCGAACAAAAAACAUAAGUU